UGGAGUACAGUUCUGUGGUAGAACACUUGCCUACUAUGCAUGAAGAUCUAGGUUCAAUCCCCAGCACUGCAA
rnacentral:tRNA from 1 species